GACGAACGCUGGCGGCGUGCCUAAUACAUGCAAGUAGAACGCUGAAGGAGGAGCUUGCUCUUCUGGAUGAGUGGCGAACGGGUGAGUAACGCGUAGGGAACCUGCCUGGUAGCGGGGGAGAACUAUUGGAAACGAUAGCUAAUACCGCAUAAGAGUAGAUGUUGCAUGACAUUUACUUAAAAGGUGCAAUUGCAUCACUACCAGAUGGACCUGCGUUGUAUUAGCUAGUUGGUGGGGUAACGGCGUACCAAGGCGACGAUACCUAGUCGACCUGAGAGGGUGGUCGGCCCCCCUGGGAAUGGGGCCCCGCCCAGGCUCCUUCGGGAGGCCGCCGUAGGGGAUCUUCGGCCAUGGACGGAAGUCUGACCGAGCCACGCCGCGGGGGUGGAGAAGGUUUUCGGAUCGUUAAGCUCUGUUGUUUGGGAAGAACGAGUGUGGGAGUGGAAAGUUCACACUGUGACGGUAUCUUACCAGAAAGGGACGGCUAACUACGUG
rnacentral:rRNA from 1 species